UAGAUGUGUUAGACCAAAUGGGGACGG
rnacentral:piRNA from 1 species